AUGGAGAUGAAACCCAAAAGAUUUUCGUUGGGGCGUAACCCUCUCAGCGACGCGCCACAUCGGAACCCGGGUGUGGUGGAAAAUGGGCAAGGGCCGGGCCGUCACCCCCCAAGUGGCGCGCCGUAUCUUGAUCCGGAUACGGUGGCAAGUGAGCGAGGAUCGGGUCGUCGCAUCCUUAGUGGCGCGCUACAUCGGCGCCCGGAUGUAGUGGAAAAUGAGCAAGGGUCUUCGCAUUUGACUCGACGAGUGCGAAGGGUAAGGAAGCUAGCCGAGCCUAGGAGGAUUCGCUUAGGUAGCUGGAACGUAGGGUCUCUGACAGGGAAGCUUCGGGAGCUAGUUGAUGCAGCAGUGAGGAGAGGUGUUGAUAUCCUUUGCGUCCAAGAAACCAAAUGGAGAGGACAGAAGGCGAAGGAGGUGGAGGAUACCGGCUUCAAGUUGUGGUACACGGGGACGGCUGCAAACAAAAAUGGCGUAGGCAUCUUGAUCAACAAGAGCCUCAAGUAUGGAGUGGUAGACGUCAGGAGACGUGGGGACCGGAUUAUCCUGGUCAAGCUGGUAGCUGAGGACUUGGUUCUCAAUGUUAUCAGCGCAUAUGCCCCGCAAGUAGGCCACAAUGAGAACACCAAGAGGGAGUUCUGGGAAGGCUUGGAAGACAUGGUUAGGAGUGUACCGAUUGGUGAGAAGCUCUUCAUAGGAGGAGACCUCAAUGGCCACGUGGGUACAUCUAACACAGGUUUUGAAGGGGCGCAUGGGGGCUUUGGCUAUGGCAUCAGGAAUCAAGAAGGAGAAGAUGUCUUAAGCUUUGCUCUAGCCUACAACAUGAUUGUAACUAACACCCUCUUUAGAAAGAGAGAAUCACAUCUGGUGACUUUUAGUAGUGGCCAACACUCUAGCCAGAUUGAUUUCAUCCUCUCGAGAAGAGAAGAUAGGCGUGCGUGCCUAGACUGUAAGGUGAUACCUGGGGAGAGUGUUGUACCCCAGCAUAAGCUGGUGGUUGCUGACUUCCGCUUUCGGAUUCGUGUCCAGCGGGAUAAGCGUGCCAAGGUCGCUAGAACGAAGUGGUGGAAGCUCAAGGGGGAGGUAGCUCAGGUGUUCAAGGAGAGGGUAUUUAAGGAGGGCCCUUGGGAGGAAGGAGGGGAUGCGGACAAUGUGUGGAUGAAGAUGGCGACUUGCAUUCGUAAGGUGGCCUCGGAGGAGUUUGGAGUGUCCAGGGGAAGGAGAAGCGAAGAUAACGAUACCUGGUGGUGGAAUGAUGAUGUCCAGAAGGCGCUUAAAGAGAAGAAAGAUUGCUUCAGACGCCUAUACCUGGAUAGGAGUGCAGACAACAUAGAGAAGUACAAGAUGGCAAAGAAGGCCGCAAAUCGAGCUGUUGGUGAAGCAAGGGGUCGGGCAUAUGAGGACCUCUACCAACGGUUAGGCACGAAGGAAGGUGAAAGGGACAUCUAUAAGAUGGCUAAGAUCCGGGAGAGGAAGACGAGGGAUAUUGGCCAAGUCAAAUGCAUCAAGGACGGAGCAGGCCAACUCUUGGUGAAGGACGAAGAGAUUAAGCAUAGAUGGCGGGAGUACUUCGACAAGCUGUUCAAUGGGGAGAAUGAGAGUUCUACCAUUGAACUGAAUGACUCCUUUGAUGAGACCAGCAUGCGUUUUGUGCGGCGCAUCCAGGAGUCUGAGGUGAAGGAGGCUUUAAAAAGGAUGAAAGGAGGCAAGGCGAUGGGCCCUGAUUGUAUCCCCAUUGAGGUGUGGAAAGGUCUCGGGGACGUAGCGAUAGUAUGGCUAACCAAGCUUUUCAACCUCAUUUUUCGGGCAAACAAGAUGCCAGAAGAAUGGAGACGGAGUAUAUUAGUAUCAAUCUUCAAGAACAAGGGGGAUGUUCAGAGUUGUACUAAUUACCGUGGAAUUAAGCUGAUGAGCCAUACAAUGAAGCUAUGGGAGAGAGUCAUUGAGCACCGCUUAAGAAGAAUGGCAAGCGUGACCAAAAAUCAGUUUGGUUUCAUGCCUGGGAGGUCGACCAUGGAAGCCAUUUUCUUGGUACGACAACUUAUGGAGAGAUAUAGGGAGCAUAAGAAGGACUUGCAUAUGGUGUUCAUUGACUUGGAGAAGGCCUAUGAUAAGAUACCGCGAAAUGUCAUGUGGUGGGCCUUGGAGAAACACAAAGUCCCAGCAAAGUACAUUACCCUCAUCAAGGACAUGUACAAUAAUGUUGUGACAAGUGUUCGAACAAGUGAUGUCGACACCGAUGACUUCCCGAUUAAGAUAGGACUGCAUCAGGGGUCAGCUUUGAGCCCUUAUCUUUUUGCAUUGGUGAUGGAUGAGGUCACAAGGGGUAUACAAGGAGAUAUCCCAUGGUGUAUGCUCUUUGCGGAUGAUGUGGUGCUAGUUGACGAUAGUCGGACGGGGGUAAAUAGGAAGUUAGAGUUAUGGAGACAAACCUUGGAAUCGAAAGGGUUUAGGCUUAGUAGAACUAAAACCGAGUACAUGAUGUGCGGUUUCAGUACUACUAGCUAUGAGGAGGAGGAGGUUAGCCUUGAUGGCCAGGUGGUACCUCGGAAGGACACCUUUCGGUAUUUGGGGUCAAUGUUGCAGGAGGAUGGGGGUAUUGAUGAAGAUGUGAACCAUCGAAUCAAAGCCGGAUGGAUGAAGUGGCGCCAAGCUUCUGGCAUUCUCUGUGACAAGAGAGUGCCACAAAAGCUAAAAGUUAGGUGUGGCGGAGAUGCGUAUGUUGAGAUGGAUGUGUGGCCACACGAGGAAGGAUCGAGUCUGGAAUGA
rnacentral:rRNA from 1 species